UGUCCUGCAGCCUGGGAGUAAGUGGCCUCAGCCCUGAGACUUCAUAGACCUGAGAAGUACCCUCAGCUUCUUCUGCACAAAUCUCCUCCUCUGUCUUCGCACAGUUGCCUUGAGGAGGUGACAUGUGUCUCUCAGUCACCAAUUAGAGAUGAUGCUUCAAAAGCAAGUGUACCCCAGAACAAAGGCUUUUGUUUUCACUCUGAGGUGUAAAUGAUUUAAAAAAUAUAUGUAGCCAGAGCAAAGAGGAAGUGGGAGAAAGCUGGCCAGCAAGGGGAAGGGGAAAUGGGACUUUCCCAGCAAGAAGAAUCUGAAACGUGGGAUAAAGAACACGCGGAGGAUCUACAGUGACUUACUUACAAUUUUAACUAAGUCUUGCCUUUCGCUGACACUGAGUGAAAGUGCUUGACUGAUGUCUUGGAUAUCUUUAAAGCAAGGGGACCACUGACACUCUUCUGAUCAUCUUGUCUCCAUUGCACAUGGAUUGAUUACUCUUCCCUGCUGAGAAAGGCACAGGUUCCUGGAUGCUCUUCAUAAACCUUACGAAGAGAACCCAGGGCCCAAGAGAUUCAGCUGGUUCCAGUCUUGCUGAGAAAGGCUGUUCCUUCGUUUCAGCAUCUGGCUUCAUUUUGUGCUUUCUUAGAAAUCUCCAUGUGAGGAAGAAAAAGUUAUCUGCAUACAUUUCUUCUGAAAUAGAUCACUGUACAGGAUGGCUGACGCACCUGACAAUUCAGUAUGUGGAUCCUUCUUGGAAGUAACAGAGCACGCUGGCCAAAGAAUUACUGCAAAAAUGCUCCUAAAUCAAAUAAACGAGGAAAAGAACAGGAGCUGAUAAUGCUGUUUUUUGUUAAUGCUCUUUUUGUAAACUACUUUUUGGAAGAUAAACCUCUUGUGGGAAGGCCAGGUACUAUACUCCUUCAUUGCCUUAGAUGAUCCAAGAGACUGAGUAAUCAAGAUGGAGCAAAGAACAAGAAGAGUGUCUGCAACACUUUAAACUUCACAAAGAAGGUACCAGGCAGAAGGGGACAAUUGCAGUGACUGAUUUUCCUGACAAAAUGACAGUGUCUUGACAAUGGCUAUGAAGUCUUGAUGACCCUUAACAUCUCAUAGAACAAAGAAGUCAGUAGAGCAAGGUGAAAAUAUUAAAGGGGGAAUACACGAAACACAAAAGAAAGAUGACAGGGUGACAAGUUAAACAUAAUCCAUGGAAUAAGAAACGUCAGAAGCCUCCUCCACAGUACACCUACAAACACGUGCCCUUUUGUUAAUAGCUAAAAGAGGGCCUCUCACUGUAACUCCUUAACUUCCUUGGUGGAGGGAAAUCAGAUGGCUAGAAAGUGUGAUGGUGCCUGGUGUGAAAGACUCAACUGGGCAAUACAUCCAGCAAGCUGCAUUUCACCUUCAUCAGUCUUUUAUUUGUACCCCCUUAAUCCUGGUUAUUGAAGUCUUCCGACUCUACCUCAUCUCUCCUUUUAUUGUCCCACUCAUAAAAUCUGAUAGGAGUUAAUAGAUUAGACAUAUUUACUGAUUAGGGCAGACAUAUUCCUCAUAUGUACUGAGGAAGAGCGAUAGGGGGAUCACCUUGGCAUGAAACCCUCUAAUGGGAGCCAAUUUUCAAGAAGAUAAGAAAAUAAUCAGCCACUUGUGAUCUUCUUUGUUUAAUUAUAUGAGACCCUAUCCAAAUUUUCAAUCCACCGUCACUGACCUCUGAGGAUCUUUGAUGCCUUUGACCUGGCUCCAGUGGAGUACCCUCCAUUCUUCCAAAUAGUCCACCCAUUUGCCUUGGCCUUAAAUUCCACCAUGAAGGGAGAGUCUUUUAUUUUAAGCAUUUCUUUUUAUCUAAUAAUAAAAGAGUAAAUAAGAUAAUGGGAUUCAAAAUAACAUAAUGCAAAUUAAUUAUUCAUGUCAGUUUCUCUACUAGAAGAAAUACAAUAGUUGAUUAAGGAUCAGAGGAAGGCAAAUCCUUCAAUGAUGCACUGAAAGAAAGAGCUGAAGAAUUUGGAGCAAGAGGCAACAAUUAUCUUAACAAAUAUUUUUUAUAUUAUAAUUCUUUUUCCCUCUGGACAUGAGGUACAGAUAAUUGAGUUCAUGAUUCAAUUCAUGGGUCAUUAUCAUCACUGGCCACAGCAAGACUUUAUUUUUUAAAAUUUUUUCCAUUUUACUUCCAUUCCUCAUUCCCAUUCCACUUUCCC
ensembl:lncRNA